AAGCAAGUUUAAGUAAUUGCGCUCAGGCGCUUUCUCAGUCGCCUACACUGGGUCCUUCAUUCCUACCGAACGACUCUUCUGGUCGAGUGUCCACGUGGAGAUGAGGAGAUGAGAGGCAUCACGCGCUCUUAAAGCGGUAAAGACGGCUUCAUUGUGUAGCAUGUGGGACAGCAGGCCUGCACCAGACACAUGGACCAGCUUACAUGGCACGUGGUCUGCAGCUACAUCUGUGCCUUUCAAAAGUCUCAUGUUAUGGACCACAAUCGAUGAUGCAUUUUACUACAUAAUGUAAUCCAUAAACAUGUAAAGUCUAAAAUCUUUUUUAUUAUAAAGGUUCUAUAUAUUCACUGAGGAGUGAUGCUUUCUAGUUGGAGGUAAAUCACUCCGCAUUCAAGAACUAGUGAUUAACUCCAUGACAAACCUGAUUUGUUCCUCUUUUGCUGCUUUGUAAUGAUUUGUAUUAGUAAAAAGUGUUGAAUGCUUGACUUUGAGUUCAAUAAGGUCUGACUUGGGCACAUUGCUAGAUUUUCAGCAUUCAUAUGUUCAUGCUGAGUCCAAGUGUUUCUGUGGCUUAAUAUUUCUCGUUCUCUUCCAGAUGCUGUUUUCUGUGUAUGUGAAUUUGCACUACAUUUUAUAAAUAAAACCUUGUGCUUAACAGUC